rnacentral:lncRNA from 1 species
AUUGGAGGACAACCACGCAACUUUUGUUGAAACUGUACCUUUCAAGACAAUUGCAUUUUUCACAAUAUUCCAGUCAGCUUAUUUGUUGAUCUGUUUCGGUAUCACCUGGAUUCCUCUUGCUGGGGUGUUGUUCCCUUUGAUAAUCAUGCUUCUGGUUCCUAUUAGACANAACAGAGUGAAUUUAACUUGCGGAAGCCUACUUCAUUUCAUUACGAUUUGUUUUUGUUAGGAUUCAUGGUAUGGUGGCAAAUCCUUCCUAAAAACUAACCAUUUAGUCGUUUUCUGUCAUUUUAUGAAACCUCCACUCUAAUCAAAAUGACUUGUUACAAUGUUGAAGGUCAUAUUGUGUGGCCUUACUGGAAUCCCCCCAUCAAAUGGUGUCAUUCCACAAUCUCCAAUGCAUACUAAAAGUUUGGCUACACUUAAGCAUCAGGUUUACAUUUACCACAGACACAUUUCUUACACCGCUCGUUUAAUAUUAUAAUCUUAAACUAAAGAUGAAAAUCGCGGCUGUCUGUAUUAGCUAGUUAAUAUUCAUCUCCGUAUCUUAGCAUUUAAUCACACAAUAUACUUUUAUCACAAUGAUAUUCACUGAGCUCAGCAUAUUCAUUGCUGCUUUGCCAUCUUUUUGCAUGUAGCUUCUUCGUAGUCGAUUGGUAACGACAGCACGCGAAUGUCUGGGCAAUAACAGUAGUCUAGAUCAAGUAUAUGGAAAGUUACAAGAAGCCUAUGAAGGGAUGCAGAGUCCAGUGCAUAACCAAGAGCCAUCAGCUCGAGUACGGCGCUUUCAUGAUUUUCAUUUAACAUAGUUUUUUUUCCCCUUAUGUUUCCCUUUUUGAUCUACAUACUUGUACACUUAGUCAACAUUAUUUUAAAUUUAUUCUUGGAACAGAGAUUAAAUGAAUUGAAAGACUCAACUAUCAAAUCAGCUUCCAGCAUGGGAAACAUUAAUGCUCCAGUUGAUGAGUCCGUUUUUGAUGUUGAGAAAGAGAUUGAUGAUUUGAUACCUGUUGAAGUAAAGGAACAGAGAGUCAGUAACUUACUGCAAUCUUUAAUGGUGGGAGGAUGUGUUGCAGCCAUGCCUCUGCUAAAAAAGAUCCCAACGUCAGUACUCUGGGGAUACUUCGCAUAUAUGGCUGUUGAAAGCUUACCCGGAAACCAGUUUUGGGAGCGGAUCUUACUACUAUUCACAGCUCCAAGUAGAAGAUACAAGUAGCUACUUUCCCAUGAACAUUUGUACAAGUUCAGUUAAUUUUUAAUUUCGCUAAACUGAUUCUCUGCAACUAACCAAUAUGCAUCUGUUUUUUGUUUUUGUUACGUGUUAACAGAAUAUUGGAGGACAACCACGCAACUUUUGUUGAAACUGUACCUUUCAAGACAAUUGCAUUUUUCACAAUAUUCCAGUCAGCUUAUUUGUUGAUCUGUUUCGGUAUCACCUGGAUUCCUCUUGCUGGGGUGUUGUUCCCUUUGAUAAUCAUGCUUCUGGUUCCUAUUAGACAAUACAUUUUACCCAAGUUUUUCAAAGAGGAACACCUUCAAGAUUUAGAUGCAGCAGAGUAUGAAGAGGCAGCUGCUUUACCAUAUAACCUUGCAAUGGUAAGCUUUGCAUUCUCUCAUUAAUAUAAAGAAUCUUCUUUACCUUUUUAUUUACAAAUUUAUCUUCUACAAUUUCAACUUUCUGCAUAUACACAUA